rnacentral:lncRNA from 1 species
AGAAAGACAUGAUCUAUAAUUUUUAAAAAUAAAAUUAACCAUGCAUCAUAUUAUAUUAACUGUGUAUCAGAAUAAAAUAACUAUGUAUCAUAUUUAUUUAACUAUAUAUCAUGAUAUGAUUUUGUAUUCUCCAUGCAAUAGGGACAUACUAGCUUUCCAUGUGUGCUCCAUCCUGAUAGCAUCCCAUGAGCAGAAAAAUCACUAAUGGUUGACAUCAAUACAGUC